rnacentral:lncRNA from 1 species
CAAGGCUAGCUGAAUUAAUGAAACAGUAUGAAAAAUUAUGCCAUCAAAAAGUUAUUCCGUAAGAAAACACUGAGAUUCUUCCUUAAGGGUGAUAGGGUUGAAGCAACAGGAUGAGAGAUCUCAAACAUGCUACUGAAUGUUGUGCUCUGACAAAACUACAUGGCUUCCUUUAUCAAGGCAGCUGUGUUUUUAAAUAAAUAAUCUUAAUUUGGCCUGCAGAAGGAUUACGCCUGAUACCCAAAUGUACUGCCUUGAAAGGUCGCCUUGACUUCCUCAAGGAGUUUAAAUCAAGGCAUUCAGGAUACCAGAUCAGAAGGCCUCACAGACUGAGGAUUAUCAAAGCAUAUCCCACUUUCUUCAGUUGUUUUUGAGAAGCAUUCAAACAUUCUGUGUACAGUUUGAUUUUGACACCAAGUUCUCCAGCAGAAAGGAGACACGUCUGACAGAAGGGCAGCCCAUGGAAAGUCAAAACCGUCAAAGAAAGAAGGAAGAGAAAACAAUCCAACUGAGUGUUUCCUUGCAACGCAUCAGUUCCCUGGGAAGAUGAGAAGCUGCAUUUCAGCUGCU